UACGGAGGGUGCAAGCGUUAUCCGGAUUUACUGGGUUUAAAGGGUGCGUAGGCGGUCGGGUAAGUCUGGCGUGAAAUCUCCAAGCCUAACUUGGAAACUGCGUUGGAUACUAUCCGGCUCGAGGAAUGGAGGGGAGACUGGAAUACUUGGUGUAGCAGUGAAAUGCGUAGAUAUCAAGUGGAACACCAGUGGCGAAGGCGAGUCUCUGGACAUUUCCUGACGCUGAGGCACGAAAGCCAGGGGAGCAAACGGG
rnacentral:rRNA from 1 species